GGAGGAAGAGAAACCAACAGGGAUUCCCCGAGUAACGGCGAGCGAAAAAGGAACAGCCCAGCGCCGAAUCCCGCGCCCUUGAGGCGUCGGGAAAUGUGGCGUUCGGGAGUGAGCGUGCCGGCGGUCGGCCCCGCAGCAAGUCCCCCUGACCGGGGCUCUUUCCCAGAGCGGGUGCGAGGCCCAUAGCUGCGGGGACGCCGUCGGAUGCGAUCUCCUUGGAGUCGGGUAGCUUGGAAGUGCUGCCCCAAUCGGGUGGUAAACUCCACCUAAGGCUAAAUACGGCCGUGAGACCGAUAGCAAACAAGUACCGUGAGGGAAAGUUGCAAAGAACUUUGAAGAGAGAGUUCAAGAGUACGUGAAACUGCUCGGAGGCAAACGGGUGGACCCUCGAAGUCCUGUGGCGGGAGGAUUCAGUCGGGCCAGGCGGACGGCCGGCGGGGAGGCGACGAGAAGGUUCCCCGAAGCGGGACCGCUCCCCGCGGCCGCCUACGUGCGGCCCGACGCAUUUGUCUCCCGCCCGUGAGGACGCCGCAACCGGUUCGGAGUCAGCGGCCAUAAGGGCGAGGGACGGCAGGGGCCGGUGGUCCGCGCCUUGCGGCGCGGCCGUCGGUUGUUAGCCUCUUCGCCGGACGGCGCGCGGCCGGACCGUGGUGACGCGGGCCCGUAAAUGGGCCCAUUCGCCUCCUCUUCCUCCGGGAGACGCGGGAGGCCGGUGCCAGGGCGGCGCGGAGCUCCGCGGCCACACGGACUCACUCCGUGGGCCAGCGGAACCGCACGCUCGUUGGGCGCGGCCGAUCCCGUGCCGGGGUUGCUUGCGGUUGGCGGCGAGUAGGUCGGUCAUCCACCC
rnacentral:rRNA from 1 species